AGACCCGAAACCCGGUGAUCUAGCCAUGGGCAGGUUGAAGGUUGGGUAACACUAACUGGAGGACCGAACCGACUAAUGUUGAAAAAUUAGCGGAUGACCUGUGGCUGGGGGUGAAAGGCCAAUCAAACCGGGAGAUAGCUGGUUCUCCCCGAAAGCUAUUUAGGUAGCGCCUCGUGAAUUCAUCUCCGGGGGUAGAGCACUGUUUCGGCUAGGGGGCCAUCCCGGCUUACCAACCCGAUGCAAACUGCGAAUACCGGAGAAUGUUAUCACGGGAGACACACGGCGGGUGCUAACGUCCGUCGUGAAGAGGGAAACAACCCAGACCGCCAGCUAAGGUCCCAAAGUCAUGGUUAAGUGGGAAACGAUGUGGGAAGGCCCAGACAGCCAGGAUGUUGGCUUAGAAGCAGCCAUCAUUUAAAGAAAGCGUAAUAGCUCACUGGUCGAGUCGGCCUGCGCGGAAGAUGUAACGGGGCUAAACCAUGCACCGAAGCUGCGGCAGCGACGCUGAUGCGUUGUUGGGUAGGGGAGCGUUCUGUAAGCCUGUGAAGGUGGCCUGUGAGGGUUGCUGGAGGUAUCAGAAGUGCGAAUGCUGACAUAAGUAACGAUAAAGCGGGUGAAAAGCCCGCUCGCCGGAAGACCAAGGGUUCCUGUCCAACGUUAAUCGGGGCAGGGUGAGUCGACCCCUAAGGCGAGGCCGAAAGGCGUAGUCGAUGGGAAACGGGUUAAUAUUCCCGUACUUGGUGUUACUGCGAAGGGGGGACGGAGAAGGCUAUGUUGGCCGGGCGACGGUU
rnacentral:rRNA from 7 species